rnacentral:lncRNA from 1 species
AACAGACAAGUAGAGAGAAGUCAUCAGGGUUCAAACUUCUCUACCUGAAGCUGUGGCUCUCGCUGCUAAGGCCAUGACAAGCGGGGCAAAUAAGGAGAUCAACUUUAGGGAGAAAAACAAAAAAUACUCUUGAUGUUACCACUGCAAGAAGAUAGGAUAUACCCAUGACUGAUGCUUUGAGCUAAUUGGAUACCUACCUGAAUGGCAAUCCAAGGAUCGAGUUAAGGGUAGAGGCAAUGGAGAAGGGACC